GAGCUGAAGAAUGCCAGGUUUAUAUUUAUUGGAAUAAGGAGGAGAAAUGUGCACAUAGAAUUUCCUAGUUGAACUCCAGCAUGGGAUUCACGUGCUGUCAUCAGAAUGACAAUACAGGCUGUUUAAAUAUUUACCUUCUCUGCCCUUCUCAUCCCACCAUACUUCAAGCCAGAGGAGGGAACAUUUAUCCACAUGCAGCCUGGAAGAUGCUUGGUCUGAGUGAGUAACAAAUACCUGCGGUUUAAUAAAGACUGGAGUUUUCAGUUUUUGAGAGCA
rnacentral:lncRNA from 1 species